AUAAAGUCAUCAUGGAGGAGGAAUUCUCCUCCUCCUUCUCAAGCCCUGCCUCCUCCAGCAGAAAGGAAAAGGUUCCAUCAGAUGCCAUAUUUAGCAUCUUGGUCACGGCAUCGAGCAGGUGAGCUCUGGUAGUGACAGACGUGCAUGCAGGGAGGAGAGACCAGCUUUGCCGAAGAGGAAAUGCUUCUCCAAAGAUUCGCCUCCUCACACUUGUGGCUGCCUGAUUUGUAUUUCUAGCCACCACCAGACAUGGCAGCACGGAGCAAGCAUGUCUGUGACUGGGAGCGAAGCAGAGAAACUCUUCCCUCGGAUUUAUGCAUCUCUUGCCCGGACCUGGUGGGAUUUGCCGGAGUCAGUCAGAAGCAGUGUUGGUAGAGCAGCUUUCGCAAGCCACAAGCCGGACCCCUCAGCGCCCUCAACUGCCACUUAACGGCUUUUCCCCAACUCUCCCACUGCUCACAUUCCAACAGCUCCGAUUGGCUGUUCUUAGGGAGACUCGCAGCUGUCCGUCACAGCCUCCGUGGAACUGUGUGGUAGCCCACCCCACCAGGCCCACACUCUACAUAACAUGCACUGCCCUGGCAAAGGCAGGAAUGCAGUUGCCAUCUCCUGGCCAGGAGACUGGAAAAAUACUGAACUGGGGGUCAUGGGAAUGGUGCACUAACAGCCCCACAGCCCCCUGGAAUUUGUGCAAAAUCUACAGAUCAAAGAAGUGCAGAGUUCUGGAGCCCUCUGAUCUUUCCCCAUCACCUCUUCCAUAAAUAAUGGCACUCCUACAAUUAUGCACAUGAUUUUUUGUUCCUAAAUGCAGAACUUUGCACUUAUCUCUGUUGACAUUCAUUUUAUUUGUUUUAGCCCAGUUUUCCAGCCUGUCGAGAUCAACCUGUAUCUUUGCUCUGGAAAUGAUGUCAUCGCGUAGGGCAUGGGAGCACUUCCCGCGAUUCGGGCUGCUCACCUCCCCGUGCCCAUCAGGCAGCCCUCCACGGGAGCCACCAGUGCUCCCACUGGCUUGGCGUGCUCCUCAGCUGCAGGACGGCCUCCCCAUCAGCACAGCAGUUGGCCAGGGCGCUGCAGGUGGCCUUUUGCAGAACGCAGGCUGUCCUCAGCAUGGCGCUCCAGGGAGCCCCCCCCCAAUUUUUUGUGCGCAGGGUGACUGCCCCUCUUGCCCACCCCCACACUACACCACUGCAUGGGGAGUGUGAGACCCCCCACUUCUGCUCUGGUCCCAUUCCCUUCCUGGCUGUUAACAUCUUGCUGGGAGAAGGUAUUGGAGCCAUUAGUGAAAAUUGCCUUUGGGGUCUGCUCUGAGGCAGGAUGUACCUUCCAGGUGUCGCCUGAGCAGGGUCAGGAGCUGGACCUAGCAGCACUCGAGGUUGUCCUCUUGAGAACUGGCUGUCUUCCCAAGUCUUGGUUUCAGCAGGCUGGGAGAGAAGCGGCCCCAGAUGAACAGCUGGCCAAUGCUGGAGUUCCUGAGGCUGCUUGGCACACUGGCCAGGAUCCUGCAAGGAACCACCCCCGGUCCACUGCUUGAGCUGCACCCCAGGGUUGCGUCCAGCCAGCCUGGCCCUUCCCCUCCUCUGUGCCACCUCAGCCGGUGCCUUCUGCUGCCUGUGUCCCUGCAGACUGGGGGAGGUCCCGGGGGACCACAGGCCAGAGUCCUGCCGGGCAGAGGGCUGGCGACGGUCUCAGAGGCUGAUGGAGGGGGUUCCCUCUCAGGCCCUGGCAGGGGGUCCUCUGGCACUGAUGAGACGUCCUCGGGUGCCCUUGCGGAGCUGGGUCCUUCCUGGUCCCUCUGGCCCACGACAGUCCCUGACCCGGCAGCCGGGGCUCCUCCUCCGGGGAUUCUGAGUCCAUUGCUGAGCAGUUCCAAG